CGAACGCUGGCGGCGUGCCUAAUACAUGCAAGUUGAGCGCUGAAGGUUGGUACUUGUACCGACUGGAUGAGCAGCGAACGGGUGAGUAACGCGUGGGGAAUCUGCCUUUGAGCGGGGGACAACAUUUGGAAACGAAUGCUAAUACCGCAUAAAAACUUUAAACACAAGUUUUAAGUUUGAAAGAUGCAAUUGCAUCACUCAAAGAUGAUCCCGCGUUGUAUUAGCUAGUUGGUGGGGUAAAGGCUCACCAAGGCGAUGAUACAUAGCCGACCUGAGAGGGUGAUCGGCCACAUUGGGACUGAGACACGGCCCAAACUCCUACGGGAGGCAGCAGUAGGGAACCUUCGGCAAUGGACGAAAGUCUGACCGAGCAACGCCGCGUGAGUGAAGAAGGUUUUCGGAUCGUAAAACUCUGUUGGUAGAGAAGAACGUUGGUGAGAGUGGAAAGCUCAUCAAGUGACGGUAACUACCCAGAAAGGGACGGCUAACUACGUG
rnacentral:rRNA from 1 species